CGCAGGCGGGCGUGGCGCCCAGCCACCCCUCAUAAGGGAGGAUCGCCCGGUUCGACUCCGGGGCCUGCGACCA
rnacentral:tRNA from 2 species